UCACUAUGGUGGGCUAAAUUUUUAAAAAAAUUUUUGAGAGAGCAUCAGUGGGGGAGAGGGACAGAGAGAGAGUGCAAAAGUGGGGGAGAGAGAAAGAGAGAGAGAAUCUCAAGCAGGCUCCACCCUCAGCAUGAGCCCAAUGAAGAGCUUGAUUUCACGACCUGAACUAAAACCAAGAGUUGGUUACUCAACCAGCUCAGCCAACUGAGCCACCCAGACGCCCCAGAGCUAUCUUCUUAACUAACUGUUGAUCUCACCAUGUGAUUUCUACAUACUUUCCUGUAGUGAAAAAAUAAGACACCAGUAAGCAAAAUGUAGUUACUACAGUUUUACCUCAAUUUAUAAAAACUCCUAAUACCAAAAUUUAGGUGCUAGUUGGGCUUGAUCUUCUACUUGGACUACUCAGAAACCUCACAUAAGAGGGGUACCCUGGGCGGCUUAGUUGGUUAAGUGUCUGACUCUUUUUUUUCGGCUCAGGUCAUAAUCUCACCGUUUGUGGGGUCGAGUGCCGUUUCGGAUCUGUGCUGAGCAUGGAGCUUACUUGGGAUUCUCUGUCUCUCCUUCUCUCUCAAAAUAAAUAAACAUUAAAAAAAAAAAAAGAAAGAAAGAAAGAAAGCUCACAGAUGGAGCAAUAGCAGUGGCUUGGGGGUAUCCCAAGUUAUGCUACCAAAUAGCAUAAAUAGCCCUACUGGGCUCCUGGAUGUGAACUAGAACUUUCCAAGGCAUUUGCCUUGGGUGAAAGAUUUCCUGGGCUAGUACCUGUUUAAAGAUGUUUAAUGGUUUCAGGGCACCGGAGGAGUGUUUUUUUUCUGCUCUUGGUCAAGUCUGCGAUCUCCACCCGCCUUGCCUCCCCAAGAAAAAAAGCAAUAAUACAAAGAGCUGAAAGACUGAUAGAGGAACCCUGUUGAAGUCUAUAAAUUUGUGUGAGACUUGUGUGUUUAAAAGGCAUACAGAGAAUUCUCAUUUGAGAAUCUCUUCUGGAAAACGACGGAAUAACUGGACACCAAACAAUUUACAAACGUCUACAACUCCCUACAUCCCCCGGAGCCUUGCUGCAGUGAUGAUGAUUUCAGUAAGAUGAAACUGCUGAGAUUCCCAGAAAGGAGGAGAUUCUAAGCGGCUGUUAGCACUCCAGGGCGGCCGCUCUCCUUGUCCCUGGGUGAAGUCUGUCUUAAAUGGCAAAAUGAUCUGAUUACAGCGUAAAGGAGCUGCUACCAAUCGAAAGAUCUGUGAGCAGGGCACACGGCAUCAAUACCAUCGGUGAACGUUGAGGCUCUUAUGUGGGCGAGGCACAAAGAAUUGCAAAGAGUUGCACAUAGCUCUGCCCUUUUGGUGCUCAUAACUAGACCAUCACCUGCGUGCGGCAGGGACCAUGUUUUUAUUUAUGUUGGUUUUCGUUAACGUUUAUAUUGGCUGACACCUCAAUACUCACAACCAUGUCUGGCGUGUCAUAGGUGCUAAAUAAAUAGAUGUUGAACAUCUGAAUCAACAGCUAUUAAAAUAGUCAGAGAGAAAAAGUUAAAUAAAAGGAAAGCUUCUAUUUUGUGAUGUAGCUUCUAAAAAGGAAAUUAUGUUCUUUUCAAAUGCCUUUAUAAAUAUUUAACACAAGACGCUAUACAUAGUAAAUGUGAAUUAAUAAGCGUAAUAAGCUCCAGCGAACCCCUCAUCUAUUCAAAUAACUAGAAAAUAACCAAUACUGUGGGAAAUACUUGUGUACUUCCAAAUGUCAUCCUUCCGCCUCCCCAUCAGCCCAAACUGCACUCUCAACUCAGGAAUAUUUUAACCCUAAGAUGCAUAAAUUAGAAACAAGGGUUUAUGGAAGCCAAGACUAUAAUUCUUCGUUACAAAUUACACAUAUAG
rnacentral:lncRNA from 1 species